rnacentral:lncRNA from 1 species
AUUCACCUUGGGUUUUAUAAAGGAAAUGAAGCGUCAUGCCGAUGUCCAAGCAGCACGUUGUUAGAGGCUCCGGUCAGAAGGGCUGUGGGAGCUCAGCUCUCCGGACCCUCUUCGGUUCUCGGACCCUUUCUGGACCCUCUUUGGACCCUCUUUGGACCUCACAUCCUCUCCAGACCUCAUCAGACCCUCUCCGGUCCUGACAUCCUCUCCAGACCUCAUCAGACCCUCUCCAGUCCUCACAUCCUCUCCAGACCUCAUCAGACCCUCUCCAGUCCUCGCAUCCUCUCCAGACUCUCUCCAGACCCUCUCCGGACCCUCUCCAGACCUCAUCAGACCCUCUCUAGUCCUCACAUCCUCUCCAGACCCUCUCCAGACCCUCUUUGGACCUCACAUCCUCUCCAGACCCUCUCUGGUCCUCACAUCCUCUCCAGACCCUCUCUGGUCCUCACAUCCUCUCCAGACCCUCUCUGGUCCUCACAUCCUCUCCAGACCCUCUCCGGUCCUCACAUCCUCUCCAGACCUCAUCAGACCCUCUCCAGUCCUCGCAGCCUCUCCAGACCCUCUCCGGUCCUCACAUCCUCUCCAGACCCUCUCCAGACCCUCUCUGGACCCUCUUUGGACCCCACAUCCUCUCCAGACCUCAUCAGACCCUCUCCAGUCCUCGCGUCCUCUCCAAACCCUCUCUGGUCCUCACAUCCUCUCCAGACCCUCUCCAGACCCUCUCCGGUCCUCACAUCCUCUCCAGACCUCUGGUCCUCACAUCCUCUCCAGACCCUCUCUGGUCCUCACAUCCUCUCCAGACCCUCUCUGGUCCUCACAUCCUCUCCAGACCCUCUCCAGACCCUCUCUGGUCCUCACAUCCUCUCCAGACCCUCUCCAGACCCUCUCUGGUCCUCACAUCCUCUCCAGACCCUCUCCAGACCCUCUCUGGUCCUCACAUCCUCUCCAGACCCUCUCCAGACCCUCUCUGGUCCUCACAUCCUCUCCGGACCCUCUCUGGUCCUCACAUCCUCUCCAGACCCUCUCCGGUCCUCGCAUCCUCUCUUAAAAUGA